rnacentral:rRNA from 1 species
GGUGAACGCUGGCGGUAGGCCUAACACAUGCAAGUCGAACGGCAGCACAGUAAGAGCUUGCUCUUACGGGUGGCGAGUGGCGGACGGGUGAGGAGUACAUCGGAAUCUACUUUUUCGUGGGGGAUAACGUAGGGAAACUUACGCUAAUACCGCAUACGACCUACGGGUGAAAGCAGGGGAUCUUCGGACCUUGCGCGAUUGAAUGAGCCGAUGUCGGAUUAGCUAGUUGGCGGGGUAAAGGCCCACCAAGGCGACGAUCCGUAGCUGGUCUGAGAGGAUGAUCAGCCACACUGGAACUGAGACACGGUCCAGACUCCUACGGGAGGCAGCAGUGGGGAAUAUUGGACAAUGGGCGCAAGCCUGAUCCAGCCAUACCGCGUGGGUGAAGAAGGCCUUCGGGUUGUAAAGCCCUUUUGUUGGGAAAGAAAAGCAGCAGGUUAAUACCCCGCUGUUCUGACGGUACCCAAAGAAUAAGCACCGGCUAACUUCGUG